UUUCAGAUAGAAACUUCACUGGUGGAUACUUCUGAGUAAAACUGGAAAAUUUCAAAAAAGGAAGCAUAAACAAUAUUCAACUUUACAGAGGCUGCUGCUGAUACCAUCUGGCUUGGCUCUCGCUGUGUCUUAUCGUGGACCUGGUUUGGAUGACUGCACCCUCUUCUGACUUUGGAUUGAAUUUGACCUGGCUUCUGUCUACGCUCCCUGACUGAUGACUACUCCCGGCUUCUGACUUCUGGAAUUUGCUGCUGCCUUUCGACCUGACCUUGGAUUCUCCUGACGACGGCUAUUCAUCAUCCCUUUGAAGCUUUGGCUUUAUCUGCACUGUGGAAGCAGUUUACUGCUCUUCUAGUUUGUUUGUUUUUAAGCCAGUUUGCUGUUUUUCUUUUGGGAACUGUCCCUUUAACUCUGCAGCUUUUGGAAGGUUGCAAGCCUUCGUUUAUUUUGCAUGUUAUCUUGCAGUCAACUCUAUUUGUUUCUUUUAAGCUGAAUUGAAGCGUCCUUAGUUUUUAUUGAAUGCCAGCAUGGGAAAAUAGCAUGGCUUGUUUUUGUGUUAAUUUUGGCUUAUCUUCAGAAUAAACUCUGUUUUGUUUGUUAA